AGACUUUCAGUGAUAACCAGAGCCCUUGGCAGAUAUGAGUGCUGGUUUAGGGGGGUUUUUUGCUUUCAUUUCCUUUCAUGUAUUUUUACAUAUUUUGCAUUUCAUAUUACCUCUUUUCAACUGUGUAAAUAAGUAGUUCUAGUUGCUUUUAGCCUACUCUGGUUUGGGUCAAAAAUAUCUUUUGAGUAACUGGCUGAAUCUCCUUGUAUUCCAGUCUUCCAGAACGGCAGUACACAAAAACCAGGGUUCUGGACAUCUCUCCCCUGCUUCUCAUCUUUGCACUAUGUAAGAAGACAUGUUUUCACAUCACUGCAAGGAACAAUUUGCUAUGAAAAAGCAGAUGCCUUGGGAGAAGAAUUCAUGUCUGAAACAAGCGUCCAAACCCACGUUCACAAAGUUGUUGACCACUUGCUGUAACAGCUGCAUAUAUUUAAGAGAUGGAAAGGACCUAAGUCUAUGUAAAGAAUUCUUCCACCUUUUGUAAAGACUCCUAUUUUUUGUAUGGGGUGUAGAACUGUAGCUGCUAAUACUGAGUUUGUUGCCUGAAAAUGAAUGGCAUUUGUAUUGGGUUUGUCCAAAAGACUUUAUUCAAGAUCUUAGCCAAAGUUAGUCCGUCCAUGCAUGGCAUUCUUCUCUUGGUGUCUUCCACUUCCAUAUCGUGCUGCAAAUUCACUUCAUAAAAUCCUCAGCUCUUCAGAAACAGGUUUUUAGCACGGGAACUUAGUAUCGGCAAAAGAAUGAGGAGCGGUUGUAAACUUCCUGCCAGCAUGGGAGCGAUUGGAAACACCUGUCCCAAGCACAAGGGCCAACAGUGAGAAGCAGCUUCAGGAGCUGAGAUUCUGCACUUGGGGCCAAUCAGUGCCAACCCAGCUCUGCCACUUCCAGAGCUAUAAGGCUGACCAAUUGCAGUUGUACUGGAUCGACGGGAAGGAAGUGAAAUAACAAGGAGCCACUGCCUUACAAAGGCUUGGGUGUCUCAGAGUUAGAUGCCUACCAGCCUGUCUGAAAAUCCUCUUGGAGAUCUCCCUGCAUUUUUAACAUACACACACCUGAAGACUUUUCACUAAUAUUCUAUGAACUCAAUUCUUGAAAACUGGUCUUAGGACCUUUGUUGCUUCUAUCUUAAUAAAAGUACACAGCAAAUAAACGUGACUAUUUACUGACAUUUUCUGUAAGCAUACCCUAUUAUUCUACUCCACGUUUUAUUCUAGCUACUGUACAAGAAAAGUGUUAAAUGUGACUUGGGCAGGGCUUUCAGGCUGCAAAUUGCAAAGAGCAGAAGGUGCAAGGGCUGUACAUAAACUCUCCAUCAGCUGAGGCUUUCAAGCGAAGAGUGAAAGCC